UACGAAGGGGGCUAGCGUUGCUCGGAAUCACUGGGCGUAAAGCGCACGUAGGCGGAUUUCUAAGUCAGGGGUGAAAUCCUGGAGCUCAACUCCAGAACUGCCUUUGAUACUGGAGAGCUUGAGUCCGGAAGAGGUGAGUGGAACUCCGAGUGUAGAGGUGAAAUUCGUAGAUAUUCGGAAGAACACCAGUGGCGAAGGCGGCUCACUGGUCCGGUACUGACGCUGAUGUGCGAAAGCGUGGGGAGCAAACAGG
rnacentral:rRNA from 1 species